UGGUGCCGAGGAUUAAUUUGUUUUUGCUGCAUUUGCAGUGUCAUCUAUUGCAAGACUCAUUAUGUGUAUUUCCAUGAACUUCUUCCAAGAUUUCAAAUGGAUUCAUAUUUCGCUCUUAUCCUUUGCAUAGGUAUUGCAUCCCAUUGCUGAUUCUAUCACUAUCAACAAAACGAUCUGGAUCCGGUGCUUUUUGUGACACGUCAUGCUUGCAGUGAGAAUGAGCGAGGUAGCACAUGUUUUAUAUCAGUUCAUACAGCACAGUGCAAUGUAUUUUCUAGAUAUGCAUAAAUAAGGUGUCACCCAUAGUGUUAGCAUGGGCAAGCUACUAUCAACAUAUAAUAACUACAUGUUACAUCUUUUGUGUGAAACAUAUAUUUUUCAUUUUGAACUA